AACAGGAUUAGAUACCCUGGUAGUCCAUGCCGUAAACGAUGAGUGCUAAGUGUUGGAGGGUUUCCGCCCUUCAGUGCUGCAGCUAACGCAUUAAGCACUCCGCCUGGGGAGUACGACCGCAAGGUUGAAACUCAAAGGAAUUGACGGGGGCCCGCACAAGCGGUGGAGCAUGUGGUUUAAUUCGAUGCUACGCGAAGAACCUUACCAGGUCUUGACAUCUUCUGCCAACCUAAGAGAUUAGGCGUUCCCUUCGGGGACAGAAUGACAGGUGGUGCAUGGUUGUCGUCAGCUCGUGUCGUGAGAUGUUGGGUUAAGUCCCGCAACGAGCGCAACCCUUAUUGUUAGCUGCCAGCAUUCAGUUGGGCACUCUAGCAAGACUGCCGGUGACAAACCGGAGGAAGGUGGGGAUGACGUCAAAUCAUCAUACCCCUUAUGACCUGGGCUACACACGUGCUACAAUGGACGGUACAACGAGUCGCGAAACCGCGAGGUCAAGCUAAUCUCUUAAAGCCGUUCUCAGUUCGGAUUGUAGGCUGCAACUCGCCUACAUGAAGUUGGAAUCGCUAGUAAUCGUGGAUCAGCAUGCCACGGUGAAUACGUUCCCGGGCCUUGUACACACCGCCCGUCACACCAUGAGAGUUUGUAACACCCAAAGCCGGUGAGGUAACCUUCGGGGACCAGCCGUCUAANGUGGGACAGAUGAUUAGGGUGAAGUCGUAACAAGGUAACCA
rnacentral:rRNA from 1 species